rnacentral:rRNA from 1 species
AUUGAACGCUGGCGGCAGGCUUAACACAUGCAAGUCGAGCGGAGAUGAGGUGCUUGCACCUUAUCUUAGCGGCGGACGGGUGAGUAAUGCUUAGGAAUCUGCCUAUUAGUGGGGGACAACAUUCCGAAAGGAAUGCUAAUACCGCAUACGCCCUACGGGGGAAAGCAGGGGAUCUUCGGACCUUGCGCUAAUAGAUGAGCCUAAGUCGGAUUAGCUAGUUGGUGGGGUAAAGGCCUACCAAGGCGACGAUCUGUAGCGGGUCUGAGAGGAUGAGCCGCCACACUGGGACUGAGACACGGGCCAGACUCCUACGGGAGGCAGCAGUGGGGAAUAUUGGACAAUGGGGGGAACCCUGAUCCAGCCAUGCCGCGUGUGUGAAGAAGGCCUUAUGGUUGUAAAGCACUUUAAGCGAGGAGGAGGCUACUGAGACUAAUACUCUUGGAUAGUGGACGUUACUCGCAGAAUAAGCACCGGCUAACUCUGUGCCAGCAGCCGCAGUAAGAC